UACGUAGGGGGCAAGCGUUAUCCGGAUUUACUGGGUGUAAAGGGAGCGUAGACGGCCAGACAAGUCUGAAGUGAAAAUCCAGCGCUUAACGUUGGAAGUGCUUUGGAAACUGCCGGGCUGGAGUGCAGGAGGGGCAGGCGGAAUUCCUAGUGUAGCGGUGAAAUGCGUAGAUAUUAGGAGGAACACCAGUGGCGAAGGCGGCCUGCUGGACAUUAACUGACGCUGAGGCGCGAAAGCGUGGGGAGCAAACAGG
rnacentral:rRNA from 1 species